UUUGAGCGAGCAAACCAUUUUCUCUAAAUUCCUCAGUAGAAGUAAGGAUCGAGGCAUUCAACAUCAGCAUGCAGGGACGCUUGGUGGUCGUUGUGGCUGCUCUGGUGGUGAUGUGUCAGCUGACCACGUCCCUUGCCACGUCGCCAGACGCGGAUACUAUGAAGCCGAGUCUGUUUGGUGUGCUGACUAAAGGAGAGACGAACUCUGUCGCCCGCUCA